GGGAAAGGAGCAUGGUGGCCGUGCGUCUGGCUUGAAACCAGAACUUGGUGGUUCAAUUCCAUCCUUCCUCG
rnacentral:tRNA from 1 species